GGAGAGGUGCCAGAGUGGUUGAUCGGGGCGCUCUCGAAAAGCGUUAUAUCCGCAAGGAUAUCGUGGGUUCGAAUCCCACCCUCUCCGCCA
rnacentral:tRNA from 1 species